rnacentral:lncRNA from 1 species
UUUUUUUUUUUUUUGACGAACAAUAAGAUUUUAUUAAACAUAGAACUUAAGAACACAGUCGGGACAAACCCCCAAACUGACAACUACAACCUGAUUGUGAAACAAAAAUCGAGCUAAACAAAUAGCCGUUUUGUUUUCAGAUUGCUUAACAGAUAGAAUAUAAAUAUUCUUGAUAUUAAAAAUGAUUACAAAAGUUUCUCGAGCAAUCCAGUCGACACCGACAUCACUGAAAAUAGUAGAAUCACAAUUGACCUGCGCACAUAAAAAACCGGUGAUAGACCAGUGUUCAUAUCCAUCAGUUACACCAACUGAGGUUGGGGGUACAGAUGCCCCAUAUAUUGAACAAUCAUUUGUUGUGCGAGGUGAGCUCUCGCGAUAACCACAAUUCCAGAUUUGAAG